rnacentral:lncRNA from 1 species
UUUAAUUUUAUUUAUUUAUUUUAGUUUAGUUUUAUUUUAUUUUCCUUUAUUUUAUUUUUGUUUUAAUUGAACAGAAUUUUCUUUUAUUUUUUUUUGUGUUGUGUCCCGUGUAUGUUAGCAACGGCAAGUUAUUUUUGUUUUGGCCAUACGUAUUUUAAAUAGUUUUGUAAUUAGGUAGUGAAUUUUUUUUUUGAAAGAUCAGAUAAUUUUAAGUAAUUUUUAUGAUGGUUUGUGGUCUGUGUAUUAAUUGUAAGACUCGUACGUACCAGGAAUAUUGCUUAAAUGGAAAUCGAUGCAUGCUGGGCGUUGUGUGUGAGGUGCGUAUUGUGUAUAUAGAAUUUCAUAUUUUUUGGACUGUGAUAUUUGUCUUUGUGUGUGUUUGUUUUGUUUUACCUGUGAAGUUGUAUGGUGAUAUGUUGGGCGUCCCUAAUUGAAAUUAUUGAUGUUUUGUGAGUGCUUUUUCUGGGUUUGUUAGUUAUGUGUGAAAUGGUGUGCAUUGUUUCUGUUGCGCUUUCGGG